GCCCAGAUAGCUCAGUCGGUAGAGCAUCAGACUUUUAUUCUAAGGGUCCAGGGUUCAAGUCCCUGUUUGGGCG
rnacentral:tRNA from 1 species